GAGUUUGAUCAUGGCUCAGGAUGAACGCUAGCGGCAGGCCUAACACAUGCAAGUCGAGGGGUAACAGAAAAGCUUGCUUUUGCUGACGACCGGCGCACGGGUGCGUAACGCGUAUGCAACCUACCUCAUACUGGAGGAUAGCCCCUGGAAACGGGGAUUAAUACUCCAUAGUAUCACAAUUUCGCAUGUUAUUGUGAUUAAAGUUUUUCGGUAUGAGAUGGGCAUGCGUCCCAUUAGCUUGUUGGUGGGGUAACGGCUCACCAAGGCAACGAUGGGUAGGGGGCCUGAGAGGGUGGUCCCCCACACUGGUACUGAGACACGGACCAGACUCCUACGGGAGGCAGCAGUGAGGAAUAUUGGUCAAUGGAGGAAACUCUGAACCAGCCAUGCCGCGUGAAGGAUGACGGCCCUAUGGGUUGUAAACUUCUUUUAUAGAGGAAGAAACUUGUCUACGUGUAGACAACUGACGGUACUCUACGAAUAAAGAUCGGCUAACUCCGUGCCAGCAGCCGCGGUAAUACGGAGGAUCCAAGCGUUAUCCGGAUUCAUUGGGUUU
rnacentral:rRNA from 1 species